UUAACAAAAAAACUUAUUCAGGAACAAUGGAAUAUAGCCUUUACAACUUGAUGAAACUUAUUUAAAAAAAUGGAAAUUUUAUUUAAAAAUAAAAAUAAGGGAAAUUCUAAUUAAUACAUAAGUGUUAGAAUUUAAAACUUACUAAUCAUUAUAAUUUAGCGUAAAAAUAAAUCUAGAUUCAGACAAUGUCAGGCAAGCUAGAUUUGCUACGUCUUGGGGCCAAUGACAUAUAUAAUACCUAGACUGACGAUUCAUUCAUUAAAAUGCAUUUUUAAGCGUCGUUAAAAGCAAAUCAGCUGGACCCGCCAUUUUGAACCCCACGUGAUUCAGAACCUUUCUACUUCUGACAGGGUUUGGGGAAGAAUUCUUGAUAGAUAGCUGUCAUUUCAAGACAUGGGCAAGCUUUCGAUAAUAAUUUAAGCAAUUAUGGGGAAAUGAACAAAAUUUUUUUAUUUAUUAUAUUUUAUCAAAUAUAUAUUUUUUUAAAGAAUAUAAUAAAAAUAAGUCUUAAUUUUAA